rnacentral:rRNA from 1 species
UACGAAGGGGCUAGCGUUGCUCGGAAUCACUGGGCGUAAAGGGUGCGUAGGCGGGUCUUUAAGUCAGGGUGAAUCCUGGAGCUCAACUCCAGAACUGCCUUGAUACUGAGGAUCUUGAGUACGGGAGAGGUGAGUGGAACUGCGAGUGUAGAGGUGAAAUUCGUAGAUAUUCGCAAGAACACCAGUGGCGAAGGCGGACUCACUGGCCCGGUACUGACGCUGAGGUGCGAAAGCGUGGGAGCAACAGGA